GAUGAACGCUAGCGGCAGGCCUAAUACAUGCAGGCCGGACGGCAAGGUCUGUAGCAAUACAGGCCCUAGAGUGGCGCAAGGGUGCGUAACACGUAUGCAACCUGCCCACGGCCCGGGGAUAGCCCCCGAAAGGGGAUUAACACCCGAUAGAUACCAAUGGUGGCAUCACUGAUGGUUUAAGCUACGGGGCCGUGGAUGGGCAUGCGUCCGAUUAGCUAGUUGGUGGGGUAACGGCCCACCAAGGCGAUGAUCGGUAGGGGUUCUGAGAGGAAGGUCCCCCACACUGGCACUGAGACACGGGCCAGACUCCUACGGGAGGCAGCAGUAGGGAAUAUUGGUCAAUGGGCGGAAGCCUGAACCAGCCAUCCCGCGUGCAGGAAGACGGCCCUAUGGGUUGUAAACUGCUUUUCCAGGGGGAGAAACUUUCCGAUGCAUCGGGAUUUGACGGUACCCUGGGAAUAAGCAUCGGCUAACUCCGUG
rnacentral:rRNA from 1 species